CCCAUCCCCCUCAAGCUCUCCUUCUCCUCCAACAACAUCAUUUCCAGCUCACCCGCUUAGAUCGGAUCUAUUUUCUGCCACCCUCAUCCCCUCUUCUUUCACCUUUAAUUUCAUCUAACACCACCUGCUUUGCCUUUCGAUCAUCCCCAAUUAAAAAAAUUCACACAAACCAAAACCACCCACCCUCAAAAAGAGAGAAAACCCCAUUAUUGGUUUUGGCUUUUAAUUUCAUAAUGAACAACAACAACACAAACAAGCUCAGAUAAAAAAAAAUUUAAAAACUCAACCCCCUCAUUUCAGCAUGAGCUCUGUUUCAUGUCUGAACCACAUAACCCUCGAAACCACCGUCGGUGAUGUGGAGAGGAUUGAGAAGUUCUUCGGCUAGCCAUCGGUCUUCGUUCUUCGACAAGAAGCGCAAGUCAUCCCCAGGACGAAUUGAGAUCUUACAAGGUGUAUAGCUCUCAUCAAGCUUGAAAUCCAGAUAAGAAACAACACGCCGAUUUUGUUUUGUUUUUUUUUUUUUGGUGAGAAAAAACAAAACCCAUUAGUCAAAAUCAAAAUUUGGAUUUUUUUUUUAAAAUAUUUUUUAAUGAGAAAAUAAGGUUAAAGAACCCCAAAAGAACAAACACACAGACAACACUACAUUAUCCAAAUGGCCCUUAGCAGCCCCCAGCGAAUCAUCAAUCAGCAGUUUGUCAAGCCAAACAGGACUUUCAUUGAGGUACCAAUAUCCCAGGUCGAGGUUGUGACUCCAAGUAGCUCAACCAUCUGCAACAGAAUUCCUCUCUCUAUAAAUGUGAUGAAUUUCAACCCUUCUAAACUGGUUCAUGAUUCUCUUGCAGAAACGUUCACACAUACUUGGAGCUUCACUUUCUUCUGGAAUUGAAUGUUUACUAAAUGAGGUUGCGCACUAACCGAUUUGCAAAUGAAGUUGGCCAUCGUGAGGUUUACAACAAGACACAGAGCUGGCCAUCGUGAAAACUCCAAUAUACCCCUCACAACAAGAGCACGUGCCAUUCACAUGGUCAAACUCGACGGAUUCUGUUACGGCAUGACUCAAUUGAAACUAUUUGUCGAGUUAAAGAAUGUAAUUGCCUCAAAAAAAAAGUUCGUGACCCAAUUACAAAUGGGGGCAAAAUUCAAAGACGUCUACAGUAAAUAACCCUAACUAUUAAAAUUACAUUACCUUUUUU
rnacentral:lncRNA from 1 species